GAUGACCCACCGGAGCUUUUGGCUGCUGCUGGAGCUGUUACUGGGUCGGUUCGAAAUCGCAGCUGCUUCGUGUUGUUAUUCCGGAUAUGGGCGCUGAAGUCACGAAGAGUUUAUUUAGUUAUUGUUGUGAUGCUCUGUAUUGUUUUAGUUAUGGUUUAUUGUACCCUCACCUUUAUCUUGAUAUAUUCUGUAAGAGGGAUAGGAAUUGUUUUAGCUAAUGCUUGUAAUAUUAUUUAUGUAUGUAUGUAUAUAUUUAUGGAUGUACUCUUUAUGAGAGUUUUUGUAAGUUGUAUGGUAUCUUUGUAUUUACGUUAUCAAAUGAAAGUAUUUUAGGAGUGGUAUUGCGGUUUCAA